rnacentral:rRNA from 1 species
GACAGAGGGGGCAAGCGUUGCUCGGAAUUACUGGGCGUAAAGCGUGCGUAGGUGGUUUCUUAAGUCGGAUGUGAAAGCCCUGGGCUCAACCUGGGAAUGGCACUCGAUACUGGGAAGCUAGAGUGCGGUAGAGGAGGGUGGAAUUCCCGGUGUAGUGGUGAAAUGCGUAGAGAUCCGGAGGAACACCAGAGGCGAAGGCGGCACCCUGGGACCAACCUGACGCUGAGACGCGAAAGCAUGGGGAGCGAACGGG